AUAUAUCAAAUCUUGUCGCGAGGAGAGGUCAAAGGGAAAAUGGUACAGUAAAUAGCAUCUUGCUGUUGUGUUAGUGGUUCUUCUAAUGAACAAUAAAGCAAAGGGCGAUAAUGGAAGAGAAAGAAACAGACGAGGAGCUCAUUAAGCGACAUCGCAAGGAGAAGAAAGAUCUACAAGCUAAGAUCCAGUGUAUGAAAAAUGCGAUUCCCAAGAAUGACAAGAAGAGACGAAAACAGCUUGUUGAAGACAUUGCAAAGCUGGAGGCUGAGCUGGACCAAAAGCAGGAAGAAGAACUGAAACAGUGGAGGAAUAAUGCGGAAGGAGGGGAGAAGGUUGAGUCAGCCGCAAAUGGAAUUGGAAAUUUGGUUCUACAGAGUGAAGAACAAGAUGAUAUCAAGGAUUCCCGAGUGUCCAAAGCACAGAAAAGAAGGGAUAAGAAGGCUGCUUUGGAAAAGGAGAGGGAGAGCAGAAUAGCUGAAGCUGAAAUCGAGAACUUAUCAGGGUCACGGCACCUUGAGAGCCUGAAGCUCUCCCAGAUGCUGGCUGACAGACAGUUGCAGAUCAAGCAGAUCCCUUCAGAUGGCCAUUGCAUGUACAGAGCCAUUGAGGACCAGCUGACGGACAGAGACUGCUCCCUCAGUCUAUCAGAGCUUCGAGCCCAGGCAUCUGAAUACAUGAGGAGCCAUGCUGAUGAUUUCCUGCCAUUCUUAACAAAUCUCAGCACUGGGGAUAUGUACACACCAGAUGAAUUUGAAAAAUACUGCUCUGAUGUAGCUGAAACAGCAGCAUGGGGAGGACAGCUUGAGUUGCGGGCUCUGACACACGUUCUUAAGAUGCCAAUAGAAGUUAUCCAGGCUGAGUCUCCUACAAUAGUUAUAGGUGAAGAGUAUGGGAACACACCAGUUAGACUAAUAAAUUGUACCUGACGAUCUCCAGCUUGAAGUUAUUUGAACUGCAGUGUUCCACUCCUCUGAAGAGCAGACAGAGGGACCUGCCUUUCCUAGAAUUCUACUGAUCACUGGACCACAAUCAGUUUCCUAAUCUUAGCAGAGAAGCUUUGAAAUUGCUGUCUUUGUUUGGAAGCACUGAUAUCUGUGAACAGGUGCUUUCCCUUAUGAAGCUAAACAAGUCACACCUCAGAACAAGGCUGACAGAUGAUAACCGGCAUGCAGUGCUUAGAGUAGCCACCACUUCACUGGAGCCCAAUAUCCCUCAGCUGGUAACUGGGAAGAACUGCAACAACUACCACUGAUUAAUUGUACUGCACCCCGGAGUGAAUAUACAUGCGCUAUGCAUAUGGAUUGGGAGAGCACUAUAACUCUGUGGAGCCACUAAGUGAAGCGGCAGCUGAAGAGGAAAGCUAGAACAACCGUGCAAAUCCACCUCAUUUUAAACGACAUAUUAAACACUCAAUCUUUAUCAGUGCAAACAAGCAACACGUUAAUGUAAAGCCCUUACAAAAUAUACUUCCAGGAGAUUCUCAUUUCUUCACAUAAAAUUUAAUUCAACGAUUAAAAGCUCUGUCACCCACCCUCAUAUAUAUAUAUAUAAUUACAUACACACUGAGUGUACAAAACAUUAGGAACACCUUCCUAAUUUGGAGUUGCACCCCCUUUUGCCCUCAGGACAGCCUCAAUUCGUCGGGGCAUGGACUCUACAAAGUGUCUCAAGCGUUCCACAGGGAUGCUGGCCCAUGUUGACUCCAAUGCUUCCCACAGUUGUGUCAAGUUGGCUGGUAGUAGAUCUCUACUCCGAAUAGCUCGUUCCAUCUCAUCCCACAGAUGCUCAAUUGGAUUGCGAUCUGGUGACUGGGCAGGCCACUGCAGUAAGCUGGAUUCACUGUCAUGUCCGUGGAACCAUUCCUGGACAAUCCUAGCCUUGUGGCAUGGGGCAUUAUCCUGCUGAAAAAAUCCAUUAGCAGAUGGAUACACUGCUGCCAUGAAGGGAUGAACCUGAUUGGCAAUGAUGUUCAGAUAUCCUGUGGCAUUCAAACGUUGCUCCACUUUUAUCAGGGGGCCCAAUGUGUGCCAUGAAAACACACCCCACACCAUCACACCACCACCACCAUGGGGCAUUAUCCUGCUGAAAAAAUCCAUUAGCAGAUUGGUACACUGCUGCCAUGAAGGGAUGAACCUGAUUGGCAAUGAUGUUCAGAUAUCCUGUGGCAUUCAAACGUUGCUCCACUUUUAUCAAGGGGCCCAAUGUGUGCCAUGAAAACACACCCCACACCAUCACACCACCACCACCAGCCGGCAAUGUUGACACGCGGCAUGAUGGAUGCAUGUACUCAUGUGGUUUUCUCCUUACCCUAGUCCUCCCAUCAGCGUGAAACAGCCAUUCAUCAGACCAGCCAAUCUUUUUCCAAUCCUCCAGUGUUUUCGUUCCUUAGCCCACUACAACCACAGUUUCUUGUGUUUUGCUGAAAGAAGUGGGACUCUGUUAGGUCGUCGGCUGCCAUACCCCAUUCGUGUCAAGGUACGACAAGUUGUACAUUCUUUUAUGGGUCUUUCGGCACCAAUGUUGUACUGGACUGUCAGUUGACUAACUGUAGCCCGUCUGUUGCUCUGCACAAUUCGUGUCAGCCUCCUUUGGUCUCUUUCAUCAAUGAGCCAUUUUCGACCACUGGCCUGCCGUUGGCUGGAUUUCAUUUGGGUGGUGGACCAUCCUUGAUACACACGGGAAACUGUUGAGCGUGAAAAACCCAGCAGCGUUGCAGUUCUUGACACACUCAAACCGGCGCACCUGGAACUUACUACCAUACCCCAUUCAAAGGCACUUGCUGUAAAUCUUUUGUCUUGCCCAUUUACCCUCUGAAUGGCACACAUACACAAUCCAUGUCUCAAUUGUGUCAAGGCUUAAAAAUCCUUCUUUAACCUGUCUCCCCUUCAUCUACACUGAUUGAAGUGGAUUUAAUAGGUUACAUCAAUAAGGGAUCAUAGCUUUCACCUGGAUUCACCUCGUCAGUCUAUUUCAUGGAAAGAGCAGGUGUUCCUAAUGUUUUGUACACUCAGUGUAUAUAUGUGUGUGUGUGUAUAUAUAUAUAUAUGUAUGUAUAUAUAUGUAUAAUAUAUAUAAAUCACUUGAAGUGUUCAUUGUAACACAGCUUUGUACAAAAACAUAAUGACAAAUUACAUGAAUGGUUAACGGCGAAUUUUGAGUAUCACUUGCUGGAAAUUUAUUCUUUUUGACACUUCAUUCUUUGCAUUGUUUUGUUGGUAAUACUCAACUGAUAAUACAGUUUUACAUAAAUAAAUAAAAAUGUUUCUUUCAA